rnacentral:sRNA from 1 species
AGAUAUCAUGGAUCAUUCAACAGCCGGUAUUCUGUUCCUUAAUUUGUCUAACCUUUGGUCUUGCAGAGCAUUCUCCGUUUCUUAUACGUGCCGGUACUAAGAGGCGACAUGUACACCAUACUUUUGUUGACCCCUUAAAUUGCUUCGUUCUUUGCCUGCGAAAUUCUAUGUGUUUGUGAGCUUCGACAGUUCAUCUUCCGCAAAUAUGGCCGACGACAUUCUUUCCACGGUCCUCUCCUACGCCGGCUGGGCAUUUCUCCCAAGAUAUGUGACCUCCUUCCUCCAGAACAUCUACUACCGCAUCACCAUUCGCGCCGGCGACCCUCAUCCCUCUCCCUCCAGCCCCCGCUACGCCCGCCACUACCGAAGAAUCUACAUCGUCGUCAUAGCCUCCUACCUCCUCUACACCCUUUACGAAACAUACCACAAACUCCGCGUAGAGGGCGACUUUUACCAACUGCUAGGGGUGCUCCCGACAUCGAACGAUCGCACUAUCAAAUCCCGCUUCCGUCGCCUAGCCGCCCUACAUCACCCGGACAAGCGCCAAAGCCAGCAGUACAUUCUCAACAGCGAUGGUGAUGGCUAUGAAUCGCCCGACGCGCUCUUUGUGCAGCUGAGGCUGGCACAGGACACGCUGCUGGAUCCCGUCAAGCGAUUUGCGUACGAUCGGUUUGGGCAGGCGGUGGUGGAAGGGUCGAAGGCGAAGACGAUGGGCGAGUUUCUGUUUGCGGGAUUGCGGGUGCUGUUGCCCCAAUACAUAGGCGGGUUUAUCGUGAUGGUGCUGAUGAAUCUGUUCUGGCUCUCUGCUUGGGGUCGAUAUUGGCGCUUCUACAUCUCCUUCGCUCUCCUCACCCUCGAACUGGCUCUCCUCACCCAUCAAAACGGCACCUUCAUUCCAGCCUCCCACUUCCCUACCUGGCUUUCUACCCUCCUCCACCUCGACGCCUUCUACCUCCUCCCCUUCCAAAGCCUCAUCCUAGCCCGCAACGCCUCCAUGACGCUAAACAUUUUCAUCUCCCAUCUGACACCACCAGACUCUUCCUCUUCAUCAUCCUCGUCAAGGUCAGCGUCGGCCGGAAAUGGCGGCUUAACCCCCCAGACUCAGGCGCAGCUGACGCAGCUGGUGAAUCUGGCGCGGGCGAAUGAGGCUGAGGUGACGAGGCUGUUGCAACUGGGGCUGGUGCCGUUCAAAGGGGAUGAGGAGAGUGCGGGGAAGUUGCGGAGGGG